GUUGUGCCUUGACCAGAACGCCUAAGUAAGUACUGAGCUCAAACACAUAUAGCUGUUGUCUAAUCUCAAGACGAAGGCCCCACUCGGACUUCCUUGCCUUUCUACCUUCAUCCAUCAUGCUCUCAGGGGCAUAACGGCCCAACUCUAGGAACUUUCGAACAUACUCUAACACAGUUACAUCACCUUGGACCAGGUGUGCAAACUCCAUUUUCUUCAGAUGUCAUAGAUGCUCUGGGAGGUACUUUACACUGAAGGUCCUC
rnacentral:lncRNA from 1 species